rnacentral:rRNA from 1 species
AACGAACGCUGGCGGCAUGCCUAACACAUGCAAGUCGAACGAGACCUUCGGGUCUAGUGGCGCACGGGUGCGUAACGCGCGGGAACCUGCCCUUAGGUUCGGAAUAACUCCCCGAAAGGGGUGCUAAUACCGGAUAAUGUCUUCGGACCAAAGAUUUAUCGCCUUUGGAUGGGCCCGCGUGGGAUUAGCUAGUUGGUAGGGUAAAAGCCUACCAAGGCGACGAUCCAUAGCUGGUCUGAGAGGAUGAUCAGCCACACUGGGACUGAGACACGGCCCAGACUCCUACGGGAAGCAGCAGUGGGGAAUAUUGGACAAUGGGCGAAAGCCUGAUCCAGCAAUGCCGCGUGAGUGAUGAAGGCCUUAGGGUUGUAAAGCUCUUUUACCCGGGAUGAUAAUGACAGUACCGGGAGAAUAAGCUCCGGCUAACUCCGUG